rnacentral:rRNA from 1 species
UGAAUACGAGACGCUAAGGCGUCGAAGUAGUGUAUGUCAUACUUCCAAGAAAAGCUUGCACUGUCAUAAGUAAAAAAUGCCUGUACCAUAACCGACACAGGUGGGUAGGUAGAGUAUACUAAGGGGCGCGAGAUAACUCUCUCUAAGGAACUCGGCAAAAUAACUCCGUAACUUCGGGAGAAGGAGUACCUUAUUCUAUAAGGUUGCAAUAACAAGAUCCAAGCAACUGUUUAUCAAAAACACAGGUCUCCGCUAGGUCGUAAGACGAUGUAUGGGGGCUGACGCCUGCCCAGUGCCAGAAGGUUAAAGAAGUCGGUUAGCAUUAGCGAAGCUGGUAACUGAAGCCCUGGUGAACGGCGGCCGUAACGAUAACGGUCCUAAGGUAGCGAAAUUCCUUGUCGGGUAAGUUCCGACCCGCACGAAAGGCGUAAUGAUCUGGAUACUGUCUCGGAGAGGGGCUCGGUGAAAUAGACUUGUCUGUGAAGAUGCGGACUACCUGCACCAGGACAGAAAGACCCUAUGAAGCUUUACUGUAACUUGAAAUUGAAAUUGGACUUUAUUCGCGCAGUAUAGGUGGGAGGUGUUGAUUAUAAUCUUGCGGGAUUAUUGGAGCCAUCAGUGAGAUACCACUCUUGUAAUGUUAGAUUUCUAACUUUGAAUCAUUAUCUGGUCAAAGGACAGUUUCAGGCGGGCAGUUUGACUGGGGCGGUCGCCUCCCAAACGGUAACGGAGGCGUACAAAGGUUUCCUCUGAACGGGUAGAAAUCGUAUCUAGAGUGUAAAGGCAUAAGGAAGCUUGACUGUGAGACCUACAAGUCGAACAGGGACGAAAGUCGGUCUUAGUGAUCUGACGGUACUGAGUGGAAAGGCCGUCACUCAACGGAUAAAAGUUACUCUAAGGAUAACAGGCUGAUCUCCCCCAAGAGUUCACAUCGACGGGGAGGUUUGGCACCUCGAUGUCGGCUCAUCGCAUCCUGGGGCGGUAGUACGUCCCAAGGGUUGGGCUGUUCGCCCAUGAAAGCGGUACGCGAGCUGGGUUCAGAACGUCGUGAGACAGUUCGGUCCAUAUCCGGUGUAGGCGUUAGAAUAUUGAGAGGAGCCUUCUUUAGUACGGGAGGACCGAGAAGGACAUACCUCUGGUGUACCAGUUAUCGUGCCAACGGUAAACGCUGGGUAGCUAUGUAUGGAGUGGAUAACCGCUGAAAGCAUCUAAGUGGGAAGCCCACCUCAAGAUAAG